GUGGGGAAUCUUGGACAAUGGGCGCAAGCCUGAUCCAGCCAUGCCGCGUGAGUGAUGAAGGCCUUAGGGUUGUAAAGCUCUUUCGCCAGGGAAGAUAAUGACUGUACCUGGAGAAGAAGCCCCGGCUAACUCCGUGCCAGCAGCCGCGGUAAUACGGAGGGGGCUAGCGUUGUUCGGAAUUACUGGGCGUAAAGCGCACGUAGGCGGCUUUCCAAGUUGGGGGUGAAAUCCCUGGGCUUAACCCAGGAACUGCCCUCAAAACUGGAAGGCUAGAGUCCGAGAGAGGUGAGUGGAAUUUCCAGUGUAGAGGUGAAAUUCGUAGAUAUUGGAAAGAACACCAGUGGCGAAGGCGGCUCACUGGCUCGGUACUGACGCUGAGGUGCGACAGCGUGGGGAGCAAACAGGAUUAGAUACCCUGGUAGUCC
rnacentral:rRNA from 1 species